UUUAAUUUAUGUAAAUAUCAUUAUGAAUACAUCAUAGUUAUUUGAAUUUGUGUUUUUUUUUAUUAAUAAUUCUAUUUAACAGGACACGAAAGACUUCCAACAGUGUUAAUUUAUAUCAUCAUAUGUUCUAGUUUGACAUGCUUGUUUCUUCUAACACUUGUAACAAGGCGUACAUUACUAUGUAAAUGCAAAAGAACCUGAAAUUUGUAUACAGAUAACAAGUCAUGGAUAUAAGUUCAAAUUUGAUAUUUUCACUUGCGUAUUUAUGUAUGAUGUAAUAAAAUUGUUAUAUAAUUUAAAACAAUAAUUUAAUCUUUAC
rnacentral:lncRNA from 1 species